GCCUCCGGCGCGAGGCCCCCUUUGUGGUCAAGAUGGCGGCGCCCAGGCGGCCCGCGCUGAGGUGAGCUGGAGCCGGGCCCGGAGAGAGGCGAGUCUGCCACGCCCAGGACUUGGACCCCGGGCUGGUCUCCCGUCUCCCAGGGAGCGGCGGGUUGAUGGGCGCUACGGGAUAAGGAAAAGGAUGUGAAGCUCACUGAAGAGGCUUGGGUUGGGAGUGCUGGAGGAGUGUACAGGUGGGGAAAAUGUACCAGUGUGUAUGCCUACUGGGACCACGUUUUCCAGAACAGUUAAGCCCAGUGUCAACUAUGCUGUCCCACCUUCCUCGUAAUUCCAGAAAUGACGUCUGCUGAAGGAGAACAUGUUCUAGCAAUGAAAUCUUCAAAAGACUCCUGCCGCUGCUCUGUGACUGCGACCCCCAGGUUGUCUUUGGAAAUUUCUAAGGCCUCCUGAGUAGAAACUGGGACAUGGAAGGAGUCGACAGGCAAAGGAAUCCCACCAUC